AGCGAACGCUGGCGGCAGGCCUAACACAUGCAAGUCGAACGAACCUUUCGGGGUUAGUGGCGGACGGGUGAGUAACACGUGGGAACGUGCCUUUAGGUUCGGAAUAACUCAGGGAAACUUGUGCUAAUACCGAAUGUGCCCUUCGGGGGAAAGAUUAAUCGCCUUUAGAGCGGCCCGCGUCUGAUUAGCUAGUUGGUUGAGGUAAUGGCUCACCAAGGCGACGAUCAGUAGCUGGUCUGAGAGGAUGAUCAGCCACAUUGGGACUGAGACACGGCCCAAACUCCUACGGGAGGCAGCAGUGGGGAAUCUUGCGCAAUGGGCGAAAGCCUGACGCAGCCAUGCCGCGUGAAUGAUGAAGGUUUUAGGAUUGUAAAAUUCUUUCACCGGGGACGAUAAUGACGGUACCCGGAGAAGAAGCCCCGGCUAACUUCGUG
rnacentral:rRNA from 1 species